UUUUAACAAAUGGGUAACUGCUCCCGCGGCAGCGAGAGCGUGAGAGAGAGCUCGGCAGGAAAUAGCUGAACAAGUCAAUGCGAACAACCCGAGUUGCCCCAAGAGGACUUGGCAGCAAAUGAAGAUGAAGUACAAAAAUAUAGUUCAAACAGCAAAUCGAAAAAAAGCAGAGCCCCGGCAGACUGGAGGGGGUCCACCUCUGCAGCCCUCACAGAGGCUGAGGAGAUGGCCCUCAGCCAACAGAGUAUGCGUCCUGUGGCUGAGGGCAUCCCUGGGGGGAGCUCCUCUGAUCCCCCCCACCCCCCAGGAUAGAAGUGCCUUUAUAAGAGGUUGGUUAUUCAAAAUAAUUAAAUAUGUACACGCAACCCGGCGCGUUGCAAAUUAGAUGGGGCAAUAUUCUGGCUCAAGUAAUAAUUUCACUGUCUAAUCAUCUUCUUCCAGUUACUGAUGGCGUCAUCGCCCUACUUGAACCAGAUGCCCUCACCAACCUCCAUGCAAUUGUAACAA